rnacentral:rRNA from 1 species
AACGAACGCUGGCGGCAGGCUUAACACAUGCAAGUCGAACGCACCGCAAGGUGAGUGGCAGACGGGUGAGUAACACGUGGGGAUCUGCCCAAUGGUACGGAAUAGCUCCGGGAAACUGGAAUUAAUACCGUAUGAGCCCGCAAGGGGAAAGAUUUAUCGCCAUUGGAUGAACCCGCGUCGGAUUAGCUAGUUGGUGUGGUAAAGGCGCACCAAGGCGACGAUCCGUAGCUGGUCUGAGAGGAUGAUCAGCCACACUGGGACUGAGACACGGCCCAGACUCCUACGGGAGGCAGCAGUGGGGAAUAUUGGACAAUGGGCGCAAGCCUGAUCCAGCCAUGCCGCGUGAGUGAUGAAAGCCUUAGGGUUGUAAAGCUCUUUCGCCGACGAAGAUAAUGACGGUAGUCGGAGAAGAAGCCCCGGCUAACUUCGUGCCACCAGCCGCCGUAAAAC